rnacentral:rRNA from 1 species
AUGAUCAUCGUUGAACCUGUAAUAUGGGAUGAACUUAUCAAGGAUAAUCCAAGGGUAAAGAAGUUCCGUUCAAAACCAUUCAUGAUCUUCAAGUCAUUGGCUACACUACAUGAAGGAAGUAUUGCUUCAGGAGACUUGAACUUUGUAUCAAUUCCGCAAGUGGAUCUCACAAGCGAUGCCAUUUCUCCUAUGGAUUCCUCUACCAAUGAUUUGAACCAUAUCUCCUCUACCAAUGUUGAUGAUGGUAUGUCCUCAUAUGAUCUACAAGGGCAAGGGGCAUCAAGAAGAGAUGAACCUGAAGCUACAACAUCUACCAACUCUGAACAAAAGGGAGCACUGCCUGUGAAAAAGAGGAAGCAAAGCCAGAUCGCUGUUGUACUUGAGGAUUACAUGGAUUUUCGGAAGAAACAAUCUGCAAAACUGGUUGACGAGUUGAAGGAAUCAAAGCAAGAUGGCAUCUUCUCGAUUGGAAACUGUAUGGCUGCGCUAGAACCAAUGGAAGAUCUAUCAGUUGCAGAAAAAGCAAAGGCACUGCGGCUUUUCAAAUGCCCAAUGAAUCGAGAAAUAUUCAUUAAUACCAAGGACUCAAAUCUUCGGCUUUAUUGGUUGAAGGAGGAGAUUUCUGAGAUGUAA